GCGCAGUGGCGCGGGCCUAUACUGGCCAGUCGACGCACAGCGAAAGGUGCUUGCACCUUUCAAGUGAGUGGCGAACGGGUGAGUAACACGUGGACAACCUGCCUCAAGGCUGGGGAUAACAUUUGGAAACAGAUGCUAAUACCGAAUAAAACUUAGUGUCGCAUGACACAAAGUUAAAAGGCGCUUCGGCGUCACCUAGAGAUGGAUCCGCGGUGCAUUAGUUAGUUGGUGGGGUAAAGGCCUACCAAGACAAUGAUGCAUAGCCGAGUUGAGAGACUGAUCGGCCACAUUGGGACUGAGACACGGCCCAAACUCCUACGGGAGGCUGCAGUAGGGAAUCUUCCACAAUGGGCGAAAGCCUGAUGGAGCAACGCCGCGUGUGUGAUGAAGGCUUUCGGGUCGUAAAGCACUGUUGUAUGGGAAGAACAGCUAGAAUAGGAAAUGAUUUUAGUUUGACGGUACCAUACCAGAAAGGGACGGCUAAAUACGUGCCAGCAGCCGCGGUAAUACGUAUGUCCCGAGCGUUAUCCGGAUUUAUUGGGCGUAAAGCGAGCGCAGACGGUUUAUUAAGUCUGAUGUGAAAGCCCGGAGCUCAACUCCGGAAUGGCAUUGGAAACUGGUUAACUUGAGUGCAGUAGAGGUAAGUGGAACUCCAUGUGUAGCGGUGGAAUGCGUAGAUAUAUGGAAGAACACCAGUGGCGAAGGCGGCUUACUGGACUGCAACUGACGUUGAGGCUCGAAAGUGUGGGUAGCAAACAGGAUUAGAUACCCUGGUAGUCCACACCGUAAACGAUGAACACUAGGUGUUAGGAGGUUUCCGCCUCUUAGUGCCGAAGCUAACGCAUUAAGUGUUCCGCCUGGGGAGUACGACCGCAAGGUUGAAACUCAAAGGAAUUGACGGGGACCCGCACAAGCGGUGGAGCAUGUGGUUUAAUUCGAAGCAACGCGAAGAACCUUACCAGGUCUUGACAUCCUUUGAAGCUUUAGAAGAUAGAAGUGUUCUCUUCGGAGACAAAGUGACAGGUGGUG
rnacentral:rRNA from 1 species